GUUGGGAGCUCUCCCAUAUGGUCGACCUGCAGGCGGCCGCGAAUUCACUAGUGAUUAGAGUUUGAUCAUGGCUCAGAUUGAACGCUGGCGGCAGGCCUAACACAUGCAAGUCGAGCGGUAGAGAGGUGCUUGCACCUCUUGAGAGCGGCGGACGGGUGAGUAAUGCCUAGGAAUCUGCCUGGUAGUGGGGGAUAACGCUCGGAAACGGACGCUAAUACCGCAUACGUCCUACGGGAGAAAGCAGGGGACCUUCGGGCCUUGCGCUAUCAGAUGAGCCUAGGUCGGAUUAGCUAGUUGGUGGGGUAAUGGCUCACCAAGGCGACGAUCCGUAACUGGUCUGAGAGGAUGAUCAGUCACACUGGAACUGAGACACGGUCCAGACUCCUACGGGAGGCAGCAGUGGGGAAUAUUGGACAAUGGGCGAAAGCCUGAUCCAGCCAUGCCGCGUGUGUGAAGAAGGUCUUCGGAUUGUAAAGAAUCGAAUUCCCGCGCCGCCAUGGCGGCCGGGAGCAUGCGAC
rnacentral:rRNA from 1 species